AGGUAAUACUUACUGGAGGUCCGAACCCACGCACGAUGAAAAGUGCGGGGAUGAGGAGUGGGUAGCGGAGAAAUUCCAAUCGAACUAGGAGAUAGCUGGAUCUCUCCGAAAUAGCUUUAGGGCUAGCCUCGAGGUAAAGAGUCAUGGAGGUAGAGCACAGAUUGGACUAGGGGCCCUUCUCGGGUAACCGAAUUCAGAUAAACUCCGAAAGCCAAGAACCAGACAC
rnacentral:rRNA from 1 species